rnacentral:sRNA from 1 species
UCUAAAAUUAACAAUCAAAAUACAAGGGUAUAAUCUUAAACACUAAACAAUAUAAAUAAUAUCAACAAAAGAUAUACAACUCGAAAUAUGCUAUACUAUUAUUUUGGAAGUACAUAAUAAAAAUUAACCUUAUUUCUUGUAAGUAAUUACAUAGGUAUGCCAUUAGAAAGAAAAUUUCAAAGAGUAAAUUAAUUCAUCUUCUUAAGGAUUAAAAAGUCAAAUACUAAUUUAAUUAAUUUAAUUUAAUUAAAAAAAAUAAAU